UUUGAAAUUGAAGAGUUUGAUCAUGUCUCAGAUUGAACGCUGGCGGCAGGCC
rnacentral:rRNA from 1 species